rnacentral:lncRNA from 1 species
CUUUAUCUUUCGAGGAACUAGCAUCUGCGGGCACAUCUUGACCUUUAUCCUCCGGCAAGCUCUUCCUUCCCGCGUUCGUCCCAUUAACACUUUCACUCUGUAAUAUACAAGAUGGGUUUAUACAAUAAUAACCAAAGAUCCAUUUCAAUCAAUAAUAACCAAUGACUUUGUCCAAAAAUCCAUUUCAUACACUAUAAACAAAGCACACAUGUUCUGAC